rnacentral:tRNA from 1 species
AUGGCUAUAGCUCAGUGGUAGAGUGCAUGCUUAGCAUGCACAAGGUCCUGGGUUCAAUUCCCAGUACCUCUG